rnacentral:tRNA from 2 species
GUCUCUGCGGCGCAAUUGGUUAGCGCGUUGGGCUGUUAACCGAAAGGUCGGUGGUUCGAGCCCACCCAGGGACG